UACGGAGGGUGCAAGCAUUAAUCGGAUUUAUUGGGCGUAAAGGGCGCGUAGGCGGGAAUGUAAGUCGGACGUGAAAUCCCGGGGCUCAACCCCGGAAUAGCAUUCGAAACUACAUUUCUUGAGGGUAGGCGGAGAAAAUGGAAUUCCACAUGUAGCGGUGAAAUGCGUAGAUAUGUGGAAGAACACCGGUGGCGAAGGCGGUUUUCUAGCUUACACCUGACGCUGAGGCGCGAAAGCAAGGGGAUCAAACAGG
rnacentral:rRNA from 1 species